rnacentral:rRNA from 1 species
ACUGCUCAGUAACACGUGGACAACCUAACCUAUGGAGGGGGAUAACCCCGGGAAACUGGGGAUAAUACCCCAUAGACUAUGAAUGCUGGAAUGCUUUGUAGUUGAAAGGUCCGCCGCCAUAGGAUGGGUCUGCGGCCGAUUAGGUUGUUGUUGGGGUAACGGCCCAACAAGCCUGUAAUCGGUACGGGUUGUGGGAGCAAGAGCCCGGAGAUGGAUUCUGAGACACGAAUCCAGGCCCUACGGGGCGCAGCAGGCGCGAAAACUUUACAAUGCGGGAAACCGUGAUAAGGGAACUCCGAGUGCCCGUAAAAUCGGGCUGUCCAUCUGUUUAAAUAACAGGUGAAGAAAGGGCCGGGCAAGACCGGUGCCAGCCGCCGCGGUAAUACCGGCGGCUCGAGUGGUGGCCACUAUUACUGGGCUUAAAGCGUUCGUAGCUGGUCUGUUAAGUCUCUGGGGAAAUCUACUGGCUUAACCAAUAGGCGUUUCAGGGAUACUGGCAGACUAGGGACCGGGAGAGGUGAGAGGUACUCCAGGGGUAGGAGUGAAAUCCUGUAAUCCUUGGGGGACCACCUGUGGCGAAGGCGUCUCACCAGAACGGCUCCGACAGUGAGGGACGAAAGCUGGGGGAGCAAACCGGAUUAGAUACCCGGGUAGUCCCAGCUGUAAACGAUGCGCGUUAGGUGUAUCGGUGACCACGAGUCAUCGAGGUGCCGAAGAGAAAUCGUGAAACGUGCCGCCUGGGAAGUACGGUCGCAAGGCUGAAACUUAAAGGAAUUGGGGGGGGGAGCAC